rfam:Desulfovibrionales bacterium GWA2_65_9 gwa2_scaffold_11467, whole genome shotgun sequence.
GGCGGCAUAGCCAAGUGGUAAGGCAGAGGUCUGCAAAACCUCCAUCCUCCGGUUCAAAUCCGGAUGCCGCCU